UGAGCUUCAUGUAUAGUUGAAGUCCACAAA
rnacentral:piRNA from 1 species